rnacentral:rRNA from 1 species
ACGGAGGGUGCGAGCGUUAUCCGGAAUUACUGGGUUUAAAGGGUGCGUAGGCGGCUAUGUAAGUCAGGAGUGAAAGUUUGCGGCUCAACCGUAAAAUUGCUUUUGAUACUGCAUGGCUGGAAUUAGGAUGAGGUCAGCGGAAUGUGGCAUGUAGCGGUGAAAUGCAUAGAUAUGCCAUAGAACACCAAUUGCGAAGGCAGCUGGCUAGACCUGGAUUGACGCUGAGGCGCGAAAGCCAGGGGAGCAAACGGGA